rnacentral:rRNA from 1 species
UUCGUAGGGUGCGAGCGUUAAUCGGAAUUACUGGGCGUAAAGCGUGCGUAGGCGGUCCGCGAAGUCUGAUGUGAAAGCCCCGGGCUCAACCUGGGAACUGCAUUGGAAACUAACGGGCUCGAGUGUGGCAGAGGGGGGUGGAAUUCCACGUGUAGCAGUGAAAUGCGUAGAGAUGUGGAGGAACACCGAUGGCGAAGGCAGCCCCCUGGGCUAACACUGACGCUCAGGCACGAAAGCGUGGGGAGCAAACAGG